GCAGUGGUGGUUCCGUGGUAGAACUCUCACCUUCCAUGCAGGAGACCUGGGUUCGAUUCCCAGCCAGGGUG
rnacentral:tRNA from 1 species